GAUAAGGUGGCUGAGAUUAGGCAAUAAAUUGUAAAUUUAUUUACGGAUAAUAUCCUCUUAUCA
rnacentral:tRNA from 1 species